UAAUACGUAGGUGGCAAGCGUUGUCCGGAAUUAUUGGGCGUAAAGCGCGCGCAGGCGGGAUAUCAAGUCUGUCUUAAAAGUGCGAGGCUCAACCUCGUGAGGGGACAGAAACUGGUAUUCUUGAGUGUCGGAGAGGAAAGUGGAAUUCCAAGUGUAGCGGUGAAAUGCGUAGAGAUUUGGAAGAACACCAGUGGCGAAGGCGACUUUCUGGACGAUGUCUGACGCUGAGGCGCGAAAGCUAGGGGAGCGAACGGGAUUAGAUACCCCGGUAGUCCUAGCCGUAAACGAUGGGUACUAGGUGUAGGGGGUAUCGACCCCUCCUGUGCCGGAGUUAACGCAAUAAGUACCCCGCCUGGGGAGUACGGCCGCAAGGUUGAAACUCAAAGGAAUUGACGG
rnacentral:rRNA from 1 species